GACCCUUCCCCCUCCCCCCGCCCCGUUUAAUAUAUAUUCAACGUUUCCUCUAUUCACAAUGAUUAAACUUUACGGUGAUUGGCAUUUGUGAAUAUUGGUUUUGAUACUAUGGUUUUUGCGAAACAAUUCGGGCUGGGCGGAUCCAGAUUUUUUACGCGGCGAAUUAUGUAUAGAGAAAAUUCGAAUUUGCAAAACGGAAGUUAGUUCGUCCCACAAUGCACCUUAGCAACAAAACACGCAUGCGUUCUACAAUGAAUGAUGGAAUGAACAUGAAUUUGUAAGGAAAAAAAGAUGAGUUCCAAGAUUCCAAGAAAGGCUCUUGCGCGCAAAAAGCGCUCAAAGGCUAAACAAAAAUUCAAGGAUCCAGAAGAUAGAAGAAAACACAAACCUAAGAAUGACAAAGCUGCAUGGAACGAAACCAGACAACAUUAAUUCCUUGUUUGUGUAACACAGGUGGAAGUACAGUCAUGUAAUAGAAUGAGAUUUGAAUUAAACAUAUCAUAAGGCCAUUCCAAGUUUUUUCUAUGUUUAGCGUCAGCGGACGGAUUGGUUUUGAGAUGUAAAAAUUUUUGAAAAAACACAAUUUUUUGUUCAUAAAGUUAGAUCACUUUUUCAUAUGUCGGGCUCAGGAUCGCAUUUUUUAAAUCCAGAUCAGAAAUCAAAUAUAACAACAUUCAAAAUGGCAAUCAUAUAGUAGGUAUUUGUUAUUUUUGUUACAAAUUGAAGAAAAUACUUCAAAAUAUAUAACAAAUUUUAUUUUGUUGAACUUAAAAUGUUGUGUUUUUUUUUCAAAGGUUUGUGGUUUUUUUUCCUGAUAGAAAGAUAGGUUUUUGAGUUUUGGAUGGAUGCUAAACAAAGAAAAAACUUGCAAUGGCCUAAAUUAAAAAUGAAUCUGGUUUAAAGAUAAGGGAUUUGUUGAUUUUGAUUGAACACCUAUAUGUCUAAAUUUCUCAAUAUCAUAGUAAAUAUACAGUAUGCAGGAAGUCAGCAAUACUGCUCAUUUGUAGAUCUGUGUUCUGUAGUAGGGGUUGGAAGGGAAGACUGAAUUCACAAAGAAGGUUCACCUACAUUUAUCUAUUGAUUAUAAAGAUGGUGUCUGAGUUUGACAUCGGGAUCAUCCAUGUUUGAGUGGGAGAGCUAUUAGUUGUCACAAACAGAAUGUGGGAUGGUUUGAAGCUUGGAGUGCUCAUGCAAACAAAGUACCUGUACAUGAAAUACAUGUACAAUCCAGCUAUCUAGAUGUAUGCCAUGUAACUCUGUGAAUGGCAUGGAAACUGUUGUUUAUAUUAUUGUAGUCAAAUACAUGUAAAAAAAAAAUAAAUAAAUAAAAUAAAAAUCAUGAAUUCUGAUAUGUGGGUUCAUUAUUAAUUUAUACACCAAAGAAAAAUGUUCUUCACAUACACAGCUUCAUUGCCUGGUGUAAGAUUUCCAUGCUUUGAUCAUUGCCCAUUACCUGGAUACUAUAGGAGGUCUAUAUUUACCAGUACCUGUAUAUACCUGAUCAAAAUCGUGUUUGAAUAAUUUUUUGGGGGGUAUGAUUUAUUCGCUUGUUCAAGAACACACAUACUCUGUGUGUAAUCAUUUUAUUUAAAUUGGACCAAUGUUCGUUGGUAGUUAAAAAAAUAAUUUUAAAAUAAGUUUAUGGGUUUAUAAUUUUUGUUUGAAACCCUUUGGGUAAAGAAAGGCCAUGUAUGCCAUAACUGAGUUUGAUGGGAUGGUGGUGCAAGUUCAGCAGUAAGUGGUCUCCUUGAAUCCACAACAUUGAGCUAUCACAAACAGUCAGGAUUCCACAAGUAUGUGAAAAAUGUAAUGCAGAUCUACUAAAUGUAGCUAUGGCUGUAGGAAAUAAACAAUGAAAACCAAACUAUAGCAAGUGGAUUUCUUGUGAUAUGUUACAUGGAGAU